AAUUCUGUGGAACAAGUACAAAAUCAAUGUGAAAUUCUGUGAAACAAGUACAAAUCAAUGUGAAAUUCUGUAGAACAAGUACAAAUCAAUGUGAAAUUCUGUGGAACUAGUACAAAUCAGUGUGAAAUUCUGUGGAACUAGUACAAAUCAAUGUGAAAUUCUGUGGAACAAGUACAAAUCAAUGUGAAAUUCUGUGGAACUAAUACAAAUCAAUGUGAAAUUCUGUGGAACAAGUACAAAUCAAUGUGAAAUUCUGUUGAACUAGUACAAAUCAAUGUGAAAUUCUGUUGAACUAGUGCGAAUCUAGAUUUCACACAGAAAGAG